rnacentral:rRNA from 1 species
UAGUCCACGCCGUAAACGAUGGUUACUAGCUGUUCGGACUUCGGUCUGAGUGGCUAAGCGAAAGUGAUAAGUAACCCACCUGGGGAGUACGUUCGCAAGAAUGAAACUCAAAGGAAUUGACGGGGGCCCGCACAAGCGGUGGAGCAUGUGGUUUAAUUCGAUGAUACGCGAGGAACCUUACCAGGGCUUAAAUGUAGUCUGACAGCUUUAGAGAUAGAGUUUUCUUCGGACAGAUUACAAGGUGCUGCAUGGUUGUCGUCAGCUCGUGCCGUGAGGUGUCAGGUUAAGUCCUAUAACGAGCGCAACCCCUGUUGUUAGUUGCCAGCGAGUAAUGUCGGGAACUCUAGCAAGACUGCCGGUGCAAACCGCGAGGAAGGUGGGGAUGGCGUCAAGUCAGCAUGCCCCUUAUGCUCUGGGCUACACACGUGCUACAAUGGCCGUGACAAAGAGUUGCUACUUUGUGAAAACAAGCUAAUCUCAUAAACGCGGCCUCAGUUCGGAUUGC